rnacentral:rRNA from 1 species
AUUGAACGCUGGCGGCAUGCUUUACACAUGCAAGUCGAACGGCAGCGCGGGGCAACCUGGCGGCGAGUGGCGAACGGGUGAGUAAUAUAUCGGAACGUACCCAGAAGUGGGGGAUAACGUAGCGACAGUUACGCUAAUACCGCAUACGAUCUACGGAUGACAGCAGGGGACCGCAAGGCCUUAUGCUUUUGGAGCGGCUGAUAUCUGAUUAGCUAGUUGGUGAGGUAAAGGCUCACCAAGGCGACGAUCAGUAGCUGGUCUGAGAGGACGACCAGCCACACUGGAACUGAGACACGGUCCAGACUCCUACGGGAGGCAGCAGUGGGGAAUGUUGGACAAUGGGCGCAAGCCUGAUCCAGCAAUGCCGCGUGAGUGAAGAAGGCCUUCGGGUUGUAAAGCUCUUUUGUCAGGGAAGAAACGGUAGAGGCUAAUAUCCUAUGCUAAUGACGGUACCUGAAGAAUAAGCACCGGCUAACUACGUG